GUCUUUCACUCUCUUAUCAGCCUUUUUCUUUGGCUAAGGGAGCUUGAAGGGAGAAAGGCUGGUAUAGGUUCAACCACUCUCACUUACUAGGAAGAAGGACGUAGACAAUCUAAGACGGAAGACAUUGUAGUUUGAUUUGCUUUCUUAAGCCGAUCCAUUGACCCGAGUACUUGCCUAAGCCCUUUGCAUCUGUUUCCAGUUUGAUAUGGACACAGGUCUGAGGUUGUCAUACCACUCGUAGGCAGGACUGUCGAGGGAAAGGGAAACUUGUCUCAAUAGCAAAGACCCAUUUGUGGCAGUGUCUCGACAAGCGGUAAUGAAAUGAGAUAAGUGUCUUUUGGGGAAACCUCUCCCAUCAAACAUAGAAAAUGGUGGGAUUUGGUACCCUGGUGGAUAAGGAA
rnacentral:lncRNA from 1 species